rnacentral:rRNA from 1 species
AGCGAACGCUGGCGGCAGGCCUAACACAUGCAAGUCGAACGAACCUUUCGGGGUUAGUGGCGGACGGGUGAGUAACACGUGGGAACGUGCCUUUAGGUUCGGAAUAACUCAGGGAAACUUGUGCUAAUACCGAAUGUGUCCUUCGGGGGAAAGAUUAAUCGCCUUUAGAGCGGCCCGCGUCUGAUUAGCUAGUUGGUUGAGGUAAUGGCUCACCAAGGCGACGAUCAGUAGCUGGUCUGAGAGGAUGAUCAGCCACAUUGGGACUGAGACACGGCCCAAACUCCUGCGGGAAGCAGCGGUGGGGAAUCUUACGCAAUGGGCGAAAGCCUGACGCAGCCAUGCCGCGUGAAUGAUGAAGGUCUUAGGAUUGUAAAAUUCUUUCACCGGGGACGAUAAUGGCGGUACCCAGAGAAGAAGCCCCGGCUAAAUUCGUG